AACCCAUUUUGAAAUCUUGCUUCGUGUGCGCUUCGCAGCAAAAGUUUAUUAUAAAUAAAUAAAUAAAACUUGUGACUUCGUCCGCAAUACUUUAUAAAUUCGUUCGCAAUAGCAACUAAACUCGUUUUAACAAACGUGGGGCCUUAACAAAUGCUUCUUUAUUGCAACUCAUUCCGCAGAAACCCGUCAUCACACUUGUCUCCAUCCCGUUCGAAUUGAGCGUCACCAUCCACACAGUCAGCGAACCCGGAGGGUCCGCAAAUCAUCUUGCAUCUUGCUGCGAUCGAUCCACCUUGCUGCGCACCUCAUCUUUUCUAGGUAUUUGACGCUAUCACUAUCAGACUUCAGCAGGUCCGGAUCGCGGAACAGCGACGAGAAUCUGCUGCUGAUAUUCAGUCAGAAAAAACAAAAACAACUUGCCAUGUCAAUACCGAAAAUUAUAAGCAAUUUGAAACCACAAAGGAUGACUACGGCUGAUGGUGGCUCCUAUAUUUGCAUUGAAGUUCCAUUAUUAUAUUAUUUCCGGGUAAAAUGGGAAGUUUUUUCUGCAUAAAGGAGUCAUGAAUUGGAGAACUCAAAUGCCUGCGUCUGAUUAGACCACCGACUUCCGUGUCACUUAUGUCGUUAAGUUGUUCCUACGGUGUAACUUGUUAGGAACUUGCCUGCGUGUUUCGAGUAAAAAGCUGCUUAGCUUUUGCCACGCCAUUUCACAGGAUCAGCGAUCGUGUUCACGAUUACUCGUGGCCCCGGCUAUUACGGUUAAAUAAUGCGGAUAUAUCAAUGAAGACAAAGCCCCUGGGGCACACCGCGAAAAUCGGACGACUGCGGUGGGCCGGGCACGUAGCCAGAAUGUCGAACAGUAACCCGGUGAAAAUGGUUCUCUACAACGAUCCGACGGGCACAAGAAGGCGAGGUGCGCAGCGGGCAAGGUGGAUCGAUCAGGUGGAAGAUGACUAUGCGGACUGCGUGGCUGGCGACGUGUAGCCAUGGACCGAGCCGAAUGGAGAAGGCUCUUAUAUGCCGCACAGGACACUUCGGCCUUAGUCUGAAUAAAUGAAAUGAAUAUCAAUGAAGACAACUAAUCAUACGGGCUACUGCUUAUAACAACCACUGCUUAUAGCCUAUUCUUAUUACGCCAUUUAAAUAUCAUAAUAAAUAUCGAGUUAAAUAUUAGAAAGAAAACUAAAUGUAUGGGGAUGGGGUCUGGUAUCAAGUUACUCUUGUUCAUCAUAUUUAUUAUAUUAAAUGGCGUAAUCUGAAUAGGCUAUUAGGCUUCCAGUACGAACAAUGUAAGUUGUUUGUGAAUGAUUCUUCUGAAUGACACAAUACCGCUUAAGCUGUAUGGAAACAACCUGAU